rnacentral:rRNA from 1 species
GAUGAACGCUGGCGGCGUGCUUAACACAUGCAAGUCGAACGAAGCGCUUUGGAUGGAUUUCUUCGGAUUGAUAUCCUUAGUGACUGAGUGGCGGACGGGUGAGUAACGCGUGGGUAACCUGCCUCAUACAGGGGGAUAACAGUUAGAAAUGGCUGCUAAUACCGCAUAAGCGCACAGUACCGCAUGGUACCGUGUGAAAAACUCCGGUGGUAUGAGAUGGACCCGCGUCUGAUUAGCUAGUUGGCAGGGUAACGGCCUACCAAGGCGACGAUCAGUAGCCGACCUGAGAGGGUGAUCGGCCACAUUGGGACUGAGACACGGCCCAAACUCCUACGGGAGGCAGCAGUGGGGAAUAUUGCACAAUGGGGGAAACCCUGAUGCAGCGACGCCGCGUGAAGGAAGACGUAUUUCGGUAUGUAAACUUCUAUCAGCAAGGAAGAUGAUGACGGUACUUGACUAAGAAGCCCCGGCUAACUACGUG